GGAGACAGGACGUGGACCCCGGAGCUGUGCGCAAAAGGGCUCCCUACCUCGGGCAAGGGGCAGGUGUUGCUGAAGGCGAGCAGCCUGGCAAUGCACGCCACGGCCCUCUCCUCCACGGCCGCCAGCUGGCACGUGGUGAAGGGCAGCAGGAGCUGUGGAGAGAAAAGCUGCUGGUGUGCCCAGAGCACGGGGCCGGCGUCAGAUCAGCACCCCCUGCCUGCAGCGGGCCCUGGGGCGACCUCGUAUAGAUUCCCCCCUUCAUGGCCUUGAACCACUCCCCCAAAUCCCAGCCUUGCCGCAGCCAGACCUCCAAGAUGUUCUGCAGCUCCAUGAGGACAGAGGUGCCGGCGCUGCCCACCAGCACCUGCAGCAGGCGGUGCAGGGCUUCCAUGGUCUGCAAGGAGGACAGGGGUCAGGGCGGCCUUCCCUGCUGCGUCCUGCUGGCAGCAGAGGGGCAUCCCAGGUGAUGGUGCCCAGGGAGCAUCCCCAGGGCCCAGCCUGCGCGCACCUCCGUGUAGGUUGCCAUGUCCAGGUCCGUGUCAGCCUCAUAGCCGGGGAGGUGGAGGACGCUGCUGAGGCAGGCACACAGGAGACUGUUCUUCUGCUUCUCUGGAAGCAGCCACGCACUGCUGUGAGGGGAGAGAGCAGAGGCGUGAUGCUCUGCUCGGCACCCUGUGCCCUGCUGCCUGCCCUGCUCAGGGCCCCCAGCUGGGAGCAGUGCCACCACGUUGGCCAAAGCUGGGCUGGGGCCGUACCUCAUGGCGGCGAUGGCGCUCAUGGCCUGCUGCCGCAGCUCUGUGUCCAGGCGGUCGGCGGGCUCCUCCUGCAGCAGCUCCUGAGAGCACAGUGGGAUGGGAUGGGAUGGGAUGGGAUGGUGCGGUGUGCCCUGCUUGGUGGGCAGAGCCCGGGCACCCCAUCCUGGCCCCACAUCCCAACUCCCGGGCUCCCCAGGGACCCCGCAGUGGGAAGGGCUGUGCCCAGCGCCCGGCCCUGCGGUGCUCCCCUUACCUCAAUGCACUGCGCCACCUCUGAUGCGCAGGCACUCAGGUGCUUGUGAGCCUCUCUGUCCUUGAGGGCAGCUGUGCAGGCGGUGCGGACGCAGGCCAGAAAGCUCAGCUUCUGUGCCUGUGCCUGAGACAGGGAGGGGAGUUACCGGUGUCGGCAUCAGGGGACCCCGGCACCCUCUGGGCAUGGCCGGGCAGGGGCAGCCCGGGAAGCACAGAGUGCCCGCUACCUGGGGUCUGCGUGUGCAGCAGGCACGGAUGCAGCUCAGGGGAUCCCCCUCCUGCGGUGACACGACGGAGGCUGAAGGAUCCUCAGCUGAGUCCACAGGCCCCUGCAGGGGCUGCACCCCACACACCUUAAGAGGCCCGUGCUGGGCCAUGGAGGUGCGGGAUGCCCUAGGCUUCUCCAGCCAGGCCUCUCGGGGUAGGCUCGGGGAUCUCUGUUCCAUCUCGCAGUGAGGGAACAGCGGCAAAUGCGCCUCCUGUUCCAACUCUGCCUUCAGGGGGACGAGGCCCACUGUGACGUGGCAGGGAUGUCACCGCAUUCUACCCGGCUCCACCCAGGCCCCCUUCCCUUGCCCUGGGCGUGGCCCAGAGCCCCGCAGCCAUCCCUGUCCGUGGGCAGUUUUGGUCUGGGAGGAGCCCUCGACUUCACUGUGUGCAUUUGCCACAGCUGCAGUGUUGGGGUCUGGGAGUCCUUCUCGGGGCCCUUCAGCCCAUCCCCGCAUCCCCCCCAGUAAAAUUAAACUGUGUCACGGUUUCCAGUGGGACGGAGUUGAUUUUUCCUUCUUGGCAUAUGGUGCUCUAUUUUGGCUUUAGGAGAAACACAAACAGGGUUGAUGACA
ensembl:lncRNA